UGUUUUUUUUGGCAACAUGGAGUAGCGGCCGUUGAAGUUUUCCCCGGCGAUGCCCGCGGAAAAGAUGACGUUAACGAUGAAAAAGGGUAAUCAGACAUCGACGGAUGUCUGAUUCCUUUACCGUGUAUACGGAUAUUAUUCUGAGAAGAAUUCAACACCGUUAUCCAGACUCCGGACUUGUAGCAAUCUUUAUCUUAAUUGCUAUAGUGGUUUAAAUCAUUUCUCAGGGGUUUCGUUUAAUUUAAUAGUAAAGUGUUUUUUUUUUUUUAAAUUAUAUUGUCUGAUUAAAUUGAGUAUGAAUAUAAAACUGUUGGUUUUAAAA